CCUCAGACAUGUGCUUGUGCAAAGCUUAAUGGCUGUGAUUUCCCCUAUGUGCAUCGGGAUGGUGGCAGGCUUAUUGAAGCCAAGGAUAUUGUUUUUGAGUGUGGUCCAAAUUGUGGCUGUGGACCUCAUUGUGUCAAUCGAACAUCUCAAAGAGGAUUGAAGUAUCGUUUUGAGGUUUUUCGUACCCCAAAAAAAGGUUGGGCUGUUCGAUCGUGGGAUUUCAUACCUUCUGGGGCACCAGUCUGCGAGUAUGUGGGAGUACUAAUGAAAACAGAAGACUUGGAUAGUGUCUCUGAGAAUAAUUAUAUUUUUGACAUAGACUGCUUGCAGACAAUGAGGGGGAUUGGUGGAAG
rnacentral:misc_RNA from 1 species